AGUCGAACGGCAGCCGGACUUCGGUCUGGUGGCGAGUGGCGAACGGGUGAGUAAUGUAUCGGAACGUGCCUAGUAGCGGGGGAUAACUACGCGAAAGCGUAUCUAAUACCGCAUACGCCCUACGGGGGAAAGCAGGGGAUCGCAAGACCUUGCACUAUUAGAGCGGCCGAUAUCGGAUUAGCUAGGUGGUGGGGUAACGGCUCACCAAGGCGACGAUCCGUAGCUGGUUUGAGAGGACGACCAGCCACACUGGGACUGAGACACGGCCCAAACUCCUACGGGAGGCAGCAGUGGGGAAUUUUGGACAAUGGGGGAAACCCUGAUCCAGCCAUCCCGCGUGUGCGAUGAAGGCCUUCGGGUUGUAAAGCACUUUUGGCAGGAAAGAAACGUCAUGGGUUAAUACCCCGUGAAACUGACGGUACCUGCAGAAUAAGCACCGGCUAACUACGUGCCAGCAGCCGCGGUAAUACGUAGGGUGCAAGCGU
rnacentral:rRNA from 1 species